GAUGAACGCUGGCGGCGUGCUUAACACAUGCAAGUCGAACGAGAAAUGUAGACGGACACCUUCGGGCGGAAGCCUUCAUUUCGAGUGGCGGACGGGUGAGUAACGCGUGGGUAACCUGCCUCAUACAGGGGGAUAACAGUUGGAAACGACUGUUAAUACCGCAUAAGACCACAGCAUCGCAUGAUGCGGGGGUAAAAACUCCGGUGGUAUGAGAUGGACCCGCGUUCGAUUAGCCAGUUGGCGGGGUAACGGCCCACCAAAGCGACGAUCGAUAGCCGAUCUGAGAGGAUGACCGGCCACAUUGGGACUGAGACACGGCCCAAACUCCUACGGGAGGCAGCAGUGGGGAAUAUUGCACAAUGGGGGAAACCCUGAUGCAGCGACGCCGCGUGAGUGAAGAAGUACUUCGGUAUGUAAAGCUCUAUCAGCAGGGAAGAAAAUGACGGUACCUGAGUAAGAAGCCCCGGCUAACUACGUA
rnacentral:rRNA from 1 species